UGAGAGCAAAAAAAUUAUAUAACUUUGAGAAUUCGAGUCUCGAUUAACUCAUUACUUAUUUUAUUAAUACGAAAGCUAUCAGUUGAUAAGAUGUCAAAGUUAUACGCCAAUCAGAUGAAAAAUCACCAGUACAAAAUGUCACGACUUAUCUUGAGAGACAAACAACCAACAGGCUUGUAUAUAAAAAGUAACUUCUGAUGCAAUUAGUCAUAUGAAAGUUAUACUUUUAACACUUUAAGUUUUUGUCUAAUAAUAAUUAAAUAAUGCAUAAAUUUUUGUUGAUCGGAAUCAUCGCCGUGGUUGGACUCCUGGCUUCGGUCAACUUUGUCGAUGGUUGCUACGAACUUGGUCAAUGGUGCCACGAGAGCGCAGGUUAUCCUUGCUGCAAUUCCGACCUUUAUUGCACUUCUACUUGGAUCUCUGCUGGAACAUGUAUACCUAGUCAUCGUUAUGCCGAAAUGGUUGAUGGUUUGUGAAUAAUUAUCUUUAUCCUUGUUGACACUUACUAAAAAAAAAUUUUGUUAUAAAAAAUGGUUGUGUAAUCCAAAUUUAUUAUUCCAAACAUGCAUAGUGACAUUUAAGUGACUUCGAUGAUGUGAUAAUUUUGUCAAAAGUAAUUAAGACUCUGACAGUAAAUUUUUUAAACAAAAAUUUAGUGCUUUAAUAAUAAUAAAAUUAACUUUAGAAAAUUACCGUCGAUAAAAAUAUAUUUUUUGAAUAUGUAACUUGUUAAACUUUUAAAAAUAUGUCUUACAAGACGUUAUCUAAAAUUUUCUCUGGUUUAAAACGUUAUCUUUAAAGAUCAGGGUGAGACACUUAGUAUAUCUGGUCACAUUUUUCAUCUGUUGAGUCAACCAAAAUAUCACUUUAUAAAUCAAAAUUUUCUUUUGACAUGGAAUUUUUAAGUAGAAAAAUUUAAUAAAUCCUGUUAUGUAAAUA